GAAUACUCAAGUAAUCAAGUAAUGGAGCACAACCAUGACCA
rnacentral:sRNA from 1 species